AAAUUGAAGAGUUUGAUCAUGGCUCAGAUUGAACGCUGGCGGCAGGCCUAACACAUGCAAGUCGAACGGUAACAGGAAACAGCUUGCUGUUUCGCUGACGAGUGGCGGACGGGUGAGUAAUGUCUGGGAAACUGCCUGAUGGAGGGGGAUAACUACUGGAAACGGUAGCUAAUACCGCAUAACGUCGCAAGACCAAAGAGGGGGACCUUAGGGCCUCUUGCCAUCGGAUGUGCCCAGAUGGGAUUAGCUAGUAGGUGGGGUAAAGGCUCACCUAGGCGACGAUCCCUAGCUGGUCUGAGAGGAUGACCAGCCACACUGGAACUGAGACACGGUCCAGACUCCUACGGGAGGCAGCAGUGGGGAAUAUUGCACAAUGGGCGCAAGCCUGAUGCAGCCAUGCCGCGUGUAUGAAGAAGGCCUUCGGGUUGUAAAGUACUUUCAGCGGGGAGGAAGGGAGUAAAGUUAAUACCUUUGCUCAUUGACGUUACCCGCAGAAGAAGCACCGGCUAACUCCGUGCCAGCAGCCGCGGUAAUACGGAGGGUGCAAGCGUUAAUCGGAAUUACUGGGCGUAAAGCGCACGCAGGCGGUUUGUUAAGUCAGAUGUGAAAUCCCCGGGCUCAACCUGGGAACUGCAUCUGAUACUGGCAAGCUUGAGUCUCGUAGAGGGGGGUAGAAUUCCAGGUGUAGCGGUGAAAUGCGUAGAGAUCUGGAGGAAUACCGGUGGCGAAGGCGGCCCCCUGGACGAAGACUGACGCUCAGGUGCGAAAGCGUGGGGAGCAAACAGGAUUAGAUACCCUGGUAGUCCACGCCGUAAACGAUGUCGACUUGGAGGUUGUGCCCUUGAGGCGUGGCUUCCGGAGCUAACGCGUUAAGUCGACCGCCUGGGGAGUACGGCCGCAAGGUUAAAACUCAAAUGAAUUGACGGGGGCCCGCACAAGCGGUGGAGCAUGUGGUUUAAUUCGAUGCAACGCGAAGAACCUUACCUGGUCUUGACAUCCACGGAAGUUUUCAGAGAUGAGAAUGUGCCUUCGGGAACCGUGAGACAGGUGCUGCAUGGCUGUCGUCAGCUCGUGUUGUGAAAUGUUGGGUUAAGUCCCGCAACGAGCGCAACCCUUAUCCUUUGUUGCCAGCGGUCCGGCCGGGAACUCAAAGGAGACUGCCAGUGAUAAACUGGAGGAAGGUGGGGAUGACGUCAAGUCAUCAUGGCCCUUACGACCAGGGCUACACACGUGCUACAAUGGCGCAUACAAAGAGAAGCGACCUCGCGAGAGCAAGCGGACCUCAUAAAGUGCGUCGUAGUCCGGAUUGGAGUCUGCAACUCGACUCCAUGAAGUCGGAAUCGCUAGUAAUCGUGGAUCAGAAUGCCACGGUGAAUACGUUCCCGGGCCUUGUACACACCGCCCGUCACACCAUGGGAGUGGGUUGCAAAAGAAGUAGGUAGCUUAACCUUCGGGAGGGCGCUUACCACUUUGUGAUUCAUGACUGGGGUGAAGUCGUAACAAGGUAACCGUAGGGGAACCUGCGGUUGGAUCACCUCCUUACCUUAAAGAAGC
rnacentral:rRNA from 4 species